CAAUAAGCGGAGGAAAAGAAACCAACAGGGAUUGCCCUAGUAACGGCGAGUGAAGCGGCAACAGCUCAAAUUUGAAAUCUGGCCUCGGCCCGAGUUGUAAUUUGCAGAGGAUGCUUUUGGUGCGGUGCCUUCCGAGUUCCCUGGAACGGGACGCCACAGAGGGUGAGAGCCCCGUAUGGUCGGACACCAAUCCUGUGUAAAGCUCCUUCGACGAGUCGAGUAGUUUGGGAAUGCUGCUCUAAAUGGGAGGUAAAUCUCUUCUAAAGCUAAAUACCGGCCAGAGACCGAUAGCGCACAAGUAGAGUGAUCGAAAGAUGAAAAGCACCUUGAAAAGGGGGUUAAACAGUACGUGAAAUUGUUGAAAGGGAAGCACUUGUGACCAGACUUGGGCCGGGCGGCUCAUCAGGGGUUCUCCCCUGUGCAUUCCGCCCGGUACAGGCCAGCAUCGGUUCUUACCGGGGGAUAAGAACGGCAGGAACGUGGCUCCCUCUCGGGGGAGUGUUAUAGCCUGCCGUACGAUACCCUGGCGGGGACCGAGG
rnacentral:rRNA from 2 species